UACGUAGGGACCAAGCGUUGUUCGGAUUUACUGGGCGUAAAGCGUGCGCAGGCGGCUUGCAAGACAGAUGUGAAAUCCCCGGGCUUAACCUGGGAACUGCAUUGUGACUGCAUGGCUGGAGUGCGGCAGAGGGGGAUGGAAUUCCGCGUGUAGCAGUGAAAUGCGUAGAUAUGCGGAGGAACACCGAUGGCGAAGGCAAUCCCCUGGGCCUGUACUGACGCUCAU
rnacentral:rRNA from 1 species